CCGUAACUAUAACGGUCCUAAGGUAGCGAAAUUCCUUGUCGGGUAAGUUCCGACCUGCACGAAUGGCAUAACGAUGGCCACACUGUCUCCUCCCGAGACUCAGUGAAGUUGAAAUGUUUGUGAUGAUGCAAUCUACCCGCGGCUAGACGGAAAGACCCCAUGAACCUUUACUGCAGCUUUGCAUUGAACUGUGAACCGAUUUGUGUAGGAUAGGUGGGAGGCAGAGAAGAGGCCACGCCAGUGGUCUUGGAGCCGACCUUGAAAUACCACCCUGAUUUGUUUGCGGUUCUAACCACGGACAGUGAUCCUGUCUUGGGACCGUGCAUGGUAGGCAGUUUGACUGGGGCGGUCUCCUCCUAAAGGGUAACGGAGGAGUACGAAGGUACGCUAGGUACGGUCGGAAAUCGUGCUGAUAGUGCAAUGGCAAAAGCGUGCUUGACUGCGAGAGCAACAACUCGAGCAGAUGCGAAAGCAGGUCAUAGUGAUCCGGUGGCUCUGAAUGGAAGGGCCAUCGCUCAACGGAUAAAAGGUACUCUGGGGAUAACAGGCUGAUACCGCCCAAGAGUUCAUAUCGACGGCGGUGUUUGGCACCUCGAUGUCGGCUCAUCUCAUCCUGGGGCUGUAGUCGGUCCCAAGGGUAUGGCUGUUCGCCAUUUAAAGAGGUACGUGAGCUGGGUUUAAAACGUCGUGAGACAGUUUGGUCCCUAUCUGCCGUGGGCGUUGGAAGAUUGACGGGGGCUGCUCCUAGUACGAGAGGACCGGAGUGGACGCACCUCUGGUGUACCGGUUGUCACGCCAGUGGCAUUGCCGGGUAGCUAAGUGCGGAAGAGAUAACCGCUGAAAGCAUCUAAGCGGGAAACUUGCCUGAAGAUGAGUCUUCCCGGAGGUUGAACCUCCCUCAAGAGUCGUCCGAGACCAGGACGUCGAUAGGUCAGGUGUGUAAGCGCUGUAAGGCGUUGAGCUAACUGAUACUAAUUGCUCGUGAGGCUUGAUCCU
rnacentral:rRNA from 1 species